UGAGGAAUAUUGGUCAAUGGGCGAGAGCCUGAACCAGCCAAGUAGCGUGCAGGAUGACGGCCCUAUGGGUUGUAAACUGCUUUUAUAUGGGAAUAAAGUGAGGGACGUGUCCCUUAUUGCAUGUACCAUACGAAUAAGGACCGGCUAAUUCCGUGCCAGCAGCCGCGGUAAUACGGAAGGUCCAGGCGUUAUCCGGAUUUAUUGGGUUUAAAGGGAGCGUAGGCUGUUUGUUAAGCGUGUUGUGAAAUGUAAGAGCUCAACUUUUAGAUUGCAGCGCGAACUGGCAGACUUGAGUGCGCACAACGUAGGCGGAAUUCAUGGUGUAGCGGUGAAAUGCUUAGAUAUCAUGAAGAACUCCGAUUGCGAAGGCAGCUUACGGGAGCGCAACUGACGCUGAAGCUCGAAGGUGCGGGUAUCGAACAGG
rnacentral:rRNA from 1 species